GAUGAACGCUGGCGGCGUGCCUAAUACAUGCAAGUCGAGCGAACAGACGAGGAGCUUGCUCCUUCGACGUUAGCGGCGGACGGGUGAGUAACACGUAGGUAACCUACCUAUAAGACUGGGAUAACUUCGGGAAACCGGAGCUAAUACCGGAUAAUAUUUCGAACCGCAUGGUUCGAUAGUGAAAGAUGGCUUUGCUAUCACUUAUAGAUGGACCUGCGCCGUAUUAGCUAGUUGGUAAGGUAACGGCUUACCAAGGCAACGAUACGUAGCCGACCUGAGAGGGUGAUCGGCCACACUGGAACUGAGACACGGUCCAGACUCCUACGGGAGGCAGCAGUAGGGAAUCUUCCGCAAUGGGCGAAAGCCUGACGGAGCAACGCCGCGUGAGUGAUGAAGGUCUUCGGAUCGUAAAACUCUGUUAUUAGGGAAGAACAAACGUGUAAGUAACUGUGCACGUCUUGACGGUACCUAAUCAGAAAGCCACGGCGAACUACGU
rnacentral:rRNA from 1 species